GCCCAGCCUCGCCCCGCCCCGCCCCUCUGUGCCUGGUUUGGGGGCGGUGCGCGCCCCCGCCGUCCGGAGUUGGGGGCGCGCGGGACAGCGACACGCACUGUGCGCAGGGGCGUAGCCCUGGAACACGCCUCAGUCUUCUGAAGGCCGCAACCCGCUGACCCCAAAUCCUGAGUCUUCGUUUUUGGAGAACAGACAACGCGAUUUUACAUCUGUUCAUAUUAAGAAGAGCUUUCAACUCUGCAGGAAAUUCACACUCAGGGUGACUCCAUUUCUGGGCUUCCCUGGUGGCUCAGUGCUAAAAUCCACCUGACAAUGCAGGAGACAUGGGUUUGAUCCCUGGUCUGGGAAGAUCGCACAUGCUGAGGAGUGACUAAGUUCAUGCACCACAACUACUGAAGCCUGAGUGCCCUAGAGCCUGUGCUCUGCAACAAGAGAAGCCACCACAAUAAGAAUUCCACGUACCACAAAAAGAGUAUUCCCGCUCUGCGGCUAAAGAAAGCCUGCACAGCAGCAAAGACCCAGCACAGCCCUAAAUAAAUAAAUAGAUAAAAUUAUAUACAUUUUAAAAAGUGACUCCAUUUCUAAAUGUGAAGGAAGCUAUGACUGCGCCUUACCUUUUGCAAUUGUGCAUUUGAGCAGCACUUCUUGGGAUCAGUGUGAGUGUGGUUUUCACCUCCUGCUGCUUAUGAUUCUGCUGAAACGCUUUCCUACUUGUUCAAAACCAGCAGGGUGAUGUCACCCUGAGAACUGCAGACCAGUUACAUAUGAAACUUCACUGUGGGUGAGUCUGGCUUGCUCCCUGUGGAACAAGGUAGGGCCUGAGUGGGUGCCGAGGAACCUGCCAGAGAUGUUGCAGCAUGUCAGUGGGCGCUGAUCACCAAGAGGAGAUUAUAUUUGUACCGAUUAAGUCGAACAGGUUACA
rnacentral:lncRNA from 1 species